rnacentral:rRNA from 1 species
GACGAACGCUGGCGGCGUGCCUAAUACAUGCAAGUUGAGCGCUGAAGGUUGGUACUUGUACCGACUGGAUGAGCAGCGGACGGGUGAGUAACGCGUGGGGAAUCUGCCUUUGAGCGGGGGACAACAUUUGGAAACGAAUGCUAAUACCGCAUAAAAACUUUAAACACAAGUUUUAAGUUUGAAAGAUGCAAUUGCAUCACUCAAAGAUGAUCCCGCGUUGUAUUAGCUAGUUGGUGAGGUAAAGGCUCACCAAGGCGAUGAUACAUAGCCGACCUGAGAGGGUGAUCGGCCACAUUGGGACUGAGACACGGCCCAAACUCCUACGGGAGGCAGCAGUAGGGAAUCUUCGGCAAUGGACGAAAGUCUGACCGAGCAACGCCGCGUGAGUGAAGAAGGUUUUCGGAUCGUAAAACUCUGUUGGUAGAGAAGAACGUUGGUGAGAGUGGAAAGCUCAUCAAGUGACGGUAACUACCCAGAAAGGGACGGCUAACUACGUG